rnacentral:sRNA from 18 species
CUUGAUCAGAGAACCUUGGACUUCAGAUCAUCCCCGGGAAGGUGCGCCCACUUUCAUGCCGCCCCACCGAGGGU